GACGAACGCUGGCGGCGUGCUUAACACAUGCAAGUCGAACGGAAAGGCCCUGCUUUUGUGGGGUGCUCGAGUGGCGAACGGGUGAGUAACACGUGAGUAACCUGCCCUUGACUUUGGGUUAACUUCAGGAAACUGGGGCUAAUACCGGAUAGGAGCUCCUGCUGCAUGGUGGGGGUUGGAAAGUUUCGGCGGUUGGGGAUGGACUCGCGGCUUAUCAGCUUGUUGGUGGGGUAGUGGCUUACCAAGGCUUUGACGGGUAGCCGGCCUGAGAGGGUGACCGGCCACAUUGGGACUGAGAUACGGCCCAGACCCCUACGGGAGGCAGCAGUGGGGAAUAUUGCACAAUGGGCGGAAGCCUGAUGCAGCAACGCCGCGUGCGGGAUGACGGCCUUCGGGUUGUAAACCGCUUUCGCCUGUGACGAAGCGUGAGGGACGGUAAUGGGUAAAGAAGCACCGGCUAACUACGU
rnacentral:rRNA from 1 species